rnacentral:rRNA from 1 species
UACGAAGGGGGCUAGCGUUGCUCGGAAUCACUGGGCGUAAAGGGUGCGUAGGCGGGUUUUUAAGUCAGGGGUGAAAUCCUGGAGCUCAACUCCAGAACUGCCUUUGAUACUGAGGAUCUUGAGUUCGGGAGAGGUGAGUGGAACUGCGAGUGUAGAGGUGAAAUUCGUAGAUAUUCGCAAGAACACCAGUGGCGAAGGCGGCUCACUGGCCCGAUACUGACGCUGAUGCGCGAAAGCGUGGGGAGCAAACGGG